AGCCCAAAUCUCCGUCUCUCUCCCAUUUCGGAUGCUCAGUUCUCACCUUAUGUUGGCGGGAUGGCAUUCUCUCCCACUUCAUCCCCUGGUUACAGCCCAUCAUCUCCUGGCUACAGUCCUUCAUCUCCUGGCUACAGUCCUACCUCGCCUGGUUACAGCCCUACAUCUCCUGGCUACAGUCCUACCUCGCCUGGUUACAGCCCCACAUCACCUACUUACAGUCCUAGUUCACCAGGUUACAGCCCAACAAGUCCAGCCUACUCUCCUACAAGUCCCUCUUAUUCUCCAACCUCACCAAGCUAUAGCCCUACCUCUCCAAGCUACAGCCCUACGUCUCCAAGUUACAGUCCUACUUCACCAAGUUAUAGUCCCACAUCUCCCAGCUAUAGUCCAACUUCACCAAGCUACAGCCCUACUUCACCGGCAUAUAGCCCAACUUCACCUGCAUACAGCCCCACUUCUCCAUCAUACAGCCCAACAUCGCCAUCAUACAGUCCGACAUCUCCUUCUUACAGCCCAACCUCACCCUCCUAUAGCCCUACAUCUCCAUCAUACAGCCCUACGUCCCCAGCAUAUAGCCCCACUUCUCCCGGGUACAGUCCGACCUCACCAAGUUAUGGUCCCACGUCACCUAGCUAUAGCCCUAC
rnacentral:lncRNA from 1 species